UGACUACCGGCGGCGUAGGAGGAACCACGGGCAUUAUUGGAGCAGCAGGAGGAGGGGGAGCAGCGGCAGGUGGGGCAGUGACAGGAACUGGGGGUAAUAAUUCGACUUCCUCCUGAGGCAUCUGAGCAACCUUCUGCAGAAAUAUCUUCUCAAGGGCUUGGGCCAUAAGGACGAUGUCAUCUGUGGGCUGCAGGAAGAAGACAAGCCUGAGCUGUGUCAUCCACACAUCAGAAGGAAAAGUCCAGAAUGUAAGAAUCACAGCCUUUAAAUGCACUGCAUCCAGAGAACAUCAGGACUUCCAGCAGAAGCCCGAUAACUAGCAUCAGUGUGGAAGCAGAAAACUGGAACAGAUGAGCCAUCCUCCCUGCUUGCCAACAGGCAAGGCACACUAGGACAGAAAAGGCAAUCCUGCUGGUUACUGGGCUUGUGCAGAUCUGAUUUAGACCACACGUGAAAAACAAUUACUCUUCCAACUGACUCCUCCUUCCAAUUCUCUGGUAAGCUGCCCUAAAACCACUUCAAAACACCUCGCUGAGAAACAAAAUCCACAAAAAGAUGACACAAAAGAGCAAAGACCUGGUGAAAUCUUACACACGUGUUAAGUGUUUCACUCUUUUGCCAAGCACUUUAAAUAGUGCUACCCAUCAUCAGGAUUACCGAGUUCAGAAGACUCCUGACCCGGUCCACAAAAUUAGGUCAUAACCUCAUGUAACUAGAGCUCUGCAGAUUUCACAUCCCAGAGCCUUGCUCCCUUGAAUGCUACAUGCAAUCCUCCUGUUCAAAGCAGUCAGAGUAAAUUUGCAAUGGCCUGCCUGGAGGGACGGACAGCAGGGCAGCUGGGGGGCCUGUGUUUGAUUUGACAGGUGGGAAGGGGCUUGCCUCCACUGCUGAGAUUUUUACAUCCACAGGACCACUUUGAAGAGGUAAAUGUUGAGUGGUUCUGUUCACUGGAAGAAAGCUUAUCAGAAAACUUUGUUCAUUCAUGAAUAACCUGGCUGUCUCGUACUCUCUGAUCUGACAGAGACAGGAUAUACAUAAUCAAGUCCAGGAGGCAAACAGAUAAAUGCAAAUGUUCUGUUAUCUGUGCCUCCAGUAUGGCAUUUGAAGCUAUUUUGCUUCAAAGUAUUAGCAUCUCCCUCAACACUGAAGUCAACAGCAAAUUGAGGAAAGUCUAGAGGAAGCACUAAUGACACUGAGCCCAGUCAAACGCACUGCAGAGAAUGGACUUUCAGUCUGUCACUCAGACCGGACAGAAGUGGGACAAGGAGUGAGAGGAUGUAAGUGCAGGUAAGCCACAGGUGAAGCACUGUGCUUCAGUUACUGUAAGGCAGCUUGCCUGUGCAUUGUUCUCCUCCCUCACUAAGUGAAAGAGUGGUUUUCUCCUUCAGAGACCUGCACCUCUCCAGCUCUGAAAAACAAUCUUUAAGUUGGGUGAGUCUGAGACUAUUCAAGGUAAUCACCAAAAGCAACCUGAACCAACGAUCAGAAAACUGAUCUAAUUAACACACAGCUUUCCAAGAACACAGUACAGAGAAGAUGACGGA